GGGUCUGUAGCUCAGCUGGUUAGAGCACCGUGUUGAUAACGCGGGGGUCGUUGGUUCGAGCCCAACUAGACCCA
rfam:Noviherbaspirillum sp. Root189 contig_15, whole genome shotgun sequence.